AACGAACGCUGGCGGCAUGCCUAACACAUGCAAGUCGAACGAAGGCUUCGGCCUUAGUGGCGCACGGGUGCGUAACGCGUGGGAAUCUGCCCCUCGGUUCGGAAUAACAGUUAGAAAUGACUGCUAAUACCGGAUGAUGACUUCGGUCCAAAGAUUUAUCGCCGAGGAAUGAGCCCGCGUAAGAUUAGGUAGUUGGUGGGGUAAAGGCCUACUAAGCCGACGAUCUUUAGCUGGUCUGAGAGGAUGAUCAGCCACACUGGGACUGAGACACGGCCCAGACUCCUACGGGAGGCAGCAGUGGGGAAUAUUGGACAAUGGGCGAAAGCCUGAUCCAGCAAUGCCGCGUGAGUGAUGAAGGCCUUAGGGUUGUAAAGCUCUUUUACCAGGGAUGAUAAUGACAGUACCUGGAGAAUAAGCUCCGGCUAACUCCGUGCCAGCAGCCGCAGUAA
rnacentral:rRNA from 1 species